rnacentral:misc_RNA from 1 species
AACGCACAUUGCGCCCCUUGGUAUUCCGAGGGGCAUGCCUGUUUGAUCGUCAUUAAGCACUUCGGGCCCAAGGCUUGGUGCUGGGUGAGCCGGAACCAACAUGCCCAUCUCAGGGUGGUUCUCAAGGCGAGCCCCAAAAUACAUGUUGAUUACAGACCGAUGGCCGGGUGGUAAGGCAUACUCAUCUCCGUACCAAUGGUGUAACUGCAGUCAAGCAAAUGAGGGAUUGUGCAAACGAGACCUCUUUAUCUUGACAUCAAAUCAGGUAGGGAUACCCGCUGAACUUAA